UACGGAGGGUGCGAGCGUUGUCCGGAAUCAUUGGGCGUAAAGGGCGCGUAGGUGGCCCGGUCAGUUCGUGGUGAAAGCGCGGGGCCCAACCCUGCGUCGGCCAUGAAUACUGCCGCGGCUGGAGCACUGUAGAGGCAGGCGGAAUUCCACGUGUAGCGGUGAAAUGCGUAGAGAUGUGGAGGAACACCAGUGGCGAAGGCGGCUUUCUGGUCUGUAACUGACGCUGAGGCGCGAAAGCGUGGGGAGCAAACAGG
rnacentral:rRNA from 1 species